UGGGGAAUAUUGCACAAUGGGCGCAAGCCUGAUGCAGCCAUGCCGCGUGUGUGAAGAAGGCCUUCGGGUUGUAAAGCACUUUCAGCGGGGAGGAAGGCGUUAAGGUUAAUAACCUUGGCGAUUGACGUUACCCGCAGAAGAAGCACCGGCUAACUCCGUGCCAGCAGCCGCGGUAAUACGGAGGGUGCAAGCGUUAAUCGGAAUUACUGGGCGUAAAGCGCACGCAGGCGGUCUGUCAAGUCGGAUGUGAAAUCCCCGGGCUCAACCUGGGAACUGCAUUCGAAACUGGCAGGCUAGAGUCGUGUAGAGGGGGGUAGAAUUCCAGGUGUAGCGGUGAAAUGCGUAGAGAUCUGGGGGAAUACCGGUGGCGAAGGCGGCCCCCUGGACAAAGACUGACGCUCAGGUGCGAAAGCGUGGGGAGCAAACAGG
rnacentral:rRNA from 1 species